UACGUAGGGGGCAAGCGUUGUCCGGAAUCAUUGGGCUUAAAGAGCGUGUAGGCGGCCCGAUAAGUCCGCCGUGAAAGUCCAGGGCUCAACCCUGGAAUGCCGGUGGAAACUGUCGGGCUGGAGUCCGGAAGAGGCGAGUGGAAUUCCUGGUGUAGCGGUGAAAUGCGCAGAUAUCAGGAGGAACACCAAUGGCGAAGGCAGCUCGCUGGGACGGUACUGACGCUGAGACGCGAAAGCGUGGGGAGCAAACAGG
rnacentral:rRNA from 1 species